GGACAACUGGGGUUUCUAAUCCUGUUUGCUCCCCACGCUUUCGCACCUCAGCGUCAACAGUCGUCCAGUGAGCCGCCUUCGCCACUGGUGUUCUUCCCAAUAUCUACGGAUUUCACUCCUACACUAAGAAUUCCACUAUCCCCUACCGGUCUCGAAGCCUCCCAGUAUUAAAAGCAAUUCCAGAGUUAAGCUCUGGGAUUUCACUCCUAACUUAAGAAGCCGCCUACGCGCCCUUUACGCCCAGUAAUUCCGAACAACGCUAGCCCCCUCUGUAUUACCGCGGCUGCUGGCAC
rnacentral:rRNA from 1 species